rnacentral:rRNA from 1 species
GCGGACGGGUGAGUAACACGUGGAUAACCUACCUAUAAGACUGGGAUAACUUCGGGAAACCGGAGCUAAUACCGGAUAAUAUAUUGAACCGCAUGGUUCAAUAGUGAAAGACGGUUUUGCUGUCACUUAUAGAUGGAUCCGCGCCGCAUUAGCUAGUUGGUAAGGUAACGGCUUACCAAGGCAACGAUGCGUAGCCGACCUGAGAGGGUGAUCGGCCACAUUGGAACUGAGACACGGUCCAG